UCCAGAGGUCUCAAGCGUUGUUCGGAUUCAUUGGGCGUAAAGGGUGCGUAGGUGGCGGGGUAAGUCGGAUGUGAAAUCCCGGGGCUCAACCUCGGAACUGCAUUCGAUACUGCUUUGCUUGAGUACUGGAGAGGAGAUUGGAAUUUACGGUGUAGCAGUGAAAUGCGCAGAUAUCAGGAGGAACACCGGUGGCGAAGGCGGGUCUCUGGGCCGAUACUGACGCUGAGGAGCGAAAGCGUGGGGAGCGAACAGG
rnacentral:rRNA from 1 species